AUAAGGUGCUAUCAAUUAUUAUUGGAAUAGGGUAUAUUUUAUUCUUCUCAUCAGUAUAUCAUUAAUGUAUGGAAGGUGUUAGAAUUAGCAGAUGUGUUCUGGGGGCCUGCUGGGGGGUGACAAAGAUGCACUGAAGAGUAGUUUCCUCUCUUUGCAUGUGACACACUUCACUAGUCUGCUAUUCUGACAAUCAUUUUAAUAACUGACUGGCGUCUGUUUCUUCUGCGGGGCAACACUGCUACUAACAAAGUAUUUUUUCUUCUUCUUUUUUUUCAUGCAGGUGUGAUUCCAAGUUUUAAAUAGACGGAAAACUGAAAACAUUUUUUGGGAAGUGUUGCUUUUUUGUGAAAUAACUUCUGUAUGCUUGAGUAAAUUUACAGAAUUAAAACUUCCUUUUAUUGUUACUUAUUUUAGCCACUGCAUGCAAAGAAACAGUUGAGUGGCAAUAUCCAAGUCAUUAUUUCUUAUGAUUAUUUCAGUCUAUAGGGACAAAAAGCAAAAAAUAUAUGAAUUUGUUUUUAUUUUUUUAUUUCAUUGGUGUAUUUAUAUACUCUUUGAAAAAAAUUAUGCAUAUUGUAAACAUUUGUUUCUUCCGGUUACACAACAUAAUUGUGAAACAGGCGUCGAGGUGCAGGAAAUGAUCACAUUAUUUAUCGAUGGAUCAUAGAGUCACGGUAAGCUUCCUGUUUAAGCCUUGCUGACAUAUUUUCACAUUGCCUUGUGUGUUUGAGCCGGCGCUUACGGUCUAGAAAGUUGUUCAAGUAAAUGUUCAAUUUUAAUUUUUCAGCUCUCUGCUGUCGUGCAUACAUCCGUUGCAACAGGUGUUACAACAGAAGAGAAAAAAAGGAUGUAUGGAAUUGUUAUCAAAUUUGGUUACACAAAUAAAAGAAAGAAAGAAAAAUAAAACCUAUAUAUUUUUACUCCAAAUUUAGAAAAAAAAUAAAAAAAAUCCAGAAAAAAAUGUCACAUGGAAAAUGGAAAACUCUCAGAAAUGUGCUGUAAUUCUGUGGAUCCGAAAUUAAGGUCGGAUGGGAAAAAGUAAGGAUUUUCUUAAAAAGUGUUGUGUUGGUAUCACAGCAGAGAAAAGCGCGCGCUGAAACGAGAUGUGAUGAUGCACCUGCCGCCAAAGUCUUUUUUUUUUCCAGCAGGUGCAUGCCUCCUAAACUAAACCUACAGGACGGAACUGCGCCUCAUGUACAGGUCUCGUCCUGUCUUAGAGCUCGGAAAGGUUCUCGCUCAGCUAAAAAGUCAUCGCCCAGUGUGUGGCGGGGCGUCUUGGCACUUGCUUUGUGUCGUGCCAAUAAAAGCUGACACCCAGUAGACCAUCACUGGCAGCCAUGCAUGAGAUGGGAUGAGGCGCGCGCAAGAAGAGUGGACCAUUCAUUGGUUAUUUAUUUCAUUCUCACCGAGGAUGCUGAUAAAGGAGGGAGGAAGAGGAGGGGGACCCCUUCACUUGCAUAUUGGACAGCUCCUACGCUGCCACAAAUUAUACUUUCUUACCCACUUAAUGACUUCUCUCUCCCUUUAUUGAUUUUUCUUCGGUGUUGUUCCCUACUGUAAGACACUGGUCCUAAAGUACGUUAUGAGGUCAGGAGGCAUGCUCUCACCUUGGGCAACUUUCACUUUAACAGGUGUGCAUGCUCACCCAGACCUGCAGAAGCAUCAUCAUCAUAUAUUACACUCACUCAAAUAGUGAGCAUAAUUCAACUGGAAAAGCUUUUGGAGAGCGUAGACCUUUGUCAGGCCCUGUCUCCCAUUUGGAAGGAACCCUUUAAAAAAAAUCUUGAAUUCAAA